UUGGCUAAUGUGUCUCGGCUAAAGUGUCUUGGCUAAUGUGUCUUGGCUAAGGUGUCUUGGCUAAGGUGUCUUGGCUAAGGUGUCUUGGCUAAGGUGUCUUGGCUAAGGUGUCUUGGCUAAUGUGUCUCGGCUAAUGUGUCUUGGCUAAUGUGUCUUGGCUAAGGUGUCUUUACUAAUGUGUCUUGGCUAAGUUGUCUUGGCUAAGGUGUCUUGGCUAAUGUGUCUUGGCUAAAGUGUCUUUGCUAAUGUGUCUUGGCUAAUGUGUCUUGGCUAAUGUGUCUUGGCUAAGGUGUCUUGGCUAUUGUGUCUUGGCUAAGGUGUCUUGGCUAAGGUGUCUUGGCUAAGGUGUCUUGGCUAAGGUGUCUUGGCUAAAGUGUCUUGGCUAAGGUGUCUUGGCUAAUGUGUCUUGGCUAAUGUGUCUUGGCUAAUGUGUCUUGGCUAAGGUGUCUUGGCUAAGGUGUCUUGGCUAAGGUGUCUUGGCUAAUGUGUCUCGGCUAAGGUGUCUUGGCUAAGGUGUCUUGGCUAAGGUGUCUUGGCUAAUGUGUCUCGGCUAAGGUGUCUUGGCUAAGGUGUCUUGGCUAAGGUGUCUUGGCUAAUGUGUCUCGGCUAAGGUGUCUUGGCUAAGGUGUCUUGGCUAAUGUGUCUCGGCUAGAGUGUCUUGGCUAAGGUGUCUUGGCUAAGGUGUCUUGGCUAAUGUGUCUCGGCUAAGGUGUCUUGGCUAAGGUGUCUUGGCUAAGGUGUCUUGGCUAAGGUGUCUUGGCUAAGGUGUCUUAGCUAUUGUGUCUCGGCUAAAGUGUCUUGGCUAAGGUGUCUUGGCUAAGGUGUCUUGGCUAAUGUGUCAUGGCUAAUGUGUCUUGGCUAAGGUGUCUUGGCUAAUGUGUCUCGGCUAAAGUGUCUUGGCUAAGGUGUCUUGGCUAAGGUGUCUUGGCUAAUGUGUCUCGGCAAAGGUGUCUUGGCUAAGGUGUCUUGGCUAAUGUGUCUUGGGUAAGGUGUCUUGGCUAAGGUGUCUGUGCUAAGGUGUCUUGGCUAAGGUGUCUUGGCUAAUGUGUCUCGGCUAAGGUGUCUUGGCUAAAGUGUCUUGGCUUAGGUGUCUUGGCUAAUGUGUCUCGGCUAAGGUGUCUUGGCUAAGGUGUCUUGGCUAAUGUGUCUUGGCUAAGGUGUCUUGGCUAAUGUGUCUUGGCUAAGGUGUCUUGGCUAAGGUGUCUUGGCUAAGGUGUCUUGGCUAAUGUGUCUUGGCUAAUGUGUCUUGGCUAAUGUGUCUCGGCUAAAGUGUCUUGGCUAAUGUGUCUUGGCUAAGGUGUCUUGGCUAAGGUGUCUUGGCUAAGGUGUCUUGGCUAAAGUGUCUUGGCUAAGGUGUCUUGGCUAAGGUGUCUUGGCUAAAGUGUCUUGGCUAAGGUGUCUUGGCUAAUGUGUCUCGGCAAAGGUGUCUUGGCUAAGGUGUCUUGGCUAAUGUGUCUUGGGUAAGGUGUCUUGGCUAAGGUGUCUGUGCUAAGGUGUCUUGGCUAAGGUGUCUUGGCUAAUGUGUCUCGGCUAAGGUGUCUUGGCUAAAGUGUCUUGGCUUAGGUGUCUUGGCUAAUGUGUCUCGGCUAAGGUGUCUUGGCUAAUGUGUUUCGGCUAAAGUGUCUUGGCUAAUGUGUCUUGGCUAAGGUGUCUUGGCUAAGGUGUCUUGGCUAAUGUGUCUUGGCUAAUGUGUCUUGGCUA